GGCUCCGUGGUCGAGUGGCAAGAACACUUGCUUCUCACACUGAAGUCCCGGGUUCGAUCCCUGGUCGAGGAGCUA